rfam:Papio anubis isolate 1X1155 chromosome 19, whole genome shotgun sequence.
GUUGCUACCAUGGUAAUCCUGCUCAGUAGGAGAGGAACCAUAGGUUAAGACAUUUGGUGUAUGUGUUUGGCUGAGGAGCCAAUGGCGUAGAGCUACCAUCUGUGGGAUUAUGACUGAAUGCCUCUAGGUCAGAAUCCCACCCAGGAGGAAUAAU